AAAUCCCACAUCGGUAAGGGCUUUGACAACAAGUUGAACGUCAGAAUAUAAAAGCUUAACAUCUGUACUGUUAAAAUCAUACCUUUCUCGGCCUUUUGGCUAAGAUCAAGUGUAGUAUCUGUUCUUAUCAGUUUAAUAUCUGAUAUGUGAACCAUUGGUUCACUCGAUAUUAAAUUUAUUUUUAAAGGGAAAGGGUCAAUUGCAGUGGCUUGCUACUGUUGCUCUUGAGCAUUGUCCUUGCUUUGCACUACAGCAAGGGGUUUUAAUCAUGCUUGGUUGGGUUGUGUGUUGUGCAAUUUGUUGGCAUGCCCACUCCAAGAGUGAACCAUCACUUUUUUGGUUUUUGACGUGUGGCUUCUAACUCUAGUGGCAACAAUGUUCAAAGCCUUACCAAUCUUUUAAAGAACUCUUAAUUCCAUAACCAAUCCUUCAUCUACAACAUUUAGGAAAAACUUUUACUUCCCUGCGAGAACCCAGCAAUCUCCCUUGUGUCGCCUGUGCUAGAGUCUCACAACUACCAUUCAUCAGAGAAAAGAUUGAGGAUCAUGCCAUGCAAUUCUUGAGGGGCCUCAAUAAGCAAUACAACAAUGUUACUUCUCAUGUCUUAAUGAUGUACCCAAUUCCAUCCAAGAGGGGCAAAUUGGAGGGAACAAUUUCUUCAAUGGAACUGAGAUUAAGGUCAACAAUACAACUACUACUCGUACCUACUGCAAAAAAGUUGGAGGACACAGUGAGUUCGUUUGUUUCAAGAAACAUGGGUUUCUGGGUAGUAGUAAUCCUGACAAUAGAAAUACCAGAUAUAUGUUAAUUGUUUUGAUAUGAAGCAGCUGCAUGUUUUUGGAUGUUUGUGUUAUGUUUACUAUUUCAGUGAAUCGGACUAAAUUGGAUCCCAGAGCAAGGAUAGGUAUGUUCCUCAUGUUCAAACCAAAUGUUAAGGAUUGUACUGUAUAUGAUCUAAAUUCCCAUUGCAUUCAUAUUUCUAGAAAUGUUAUCUUCUAUGAAGAUAAAUUUCAUUUCAAAACUAUUUCUCAGGAAAAUUCUAUUGACAAGAUGAUUACACCUGUUUUUGAGAAAAUAAAGGAUUAUGAUUUUGAUCUUACUGUCCAUAAGAGUAAAAACCUAAAUGAUAACAUUGAUUCUGAAAACCAUAUAACGCAUGCCCAGAAGAUUGAUGAUCCUGAUAAUCUGAAUAAAUCUGAUAGUAUUGAUACUGAACAAGCUUUUGAUUCUGCGUCAGAGCAAAAUUGUCCUAGAAGGUCUACUAGACACAAUAAUGUUCCUGCUUAUUUACAAGAUUUUCAAAGUUCAUUUGCUACUAAAACUGAAAAGAAAACUAGAUAUUCUAUUAAGGGUCACGUUUCUAUGGCAAGACUGUCUUCUUUCAAAUAGGUUAUUUGCUCUAUUGACUCACAUACUGAACCAGAAUCUUAUGAAGAUGCUUCAUGGUAUGCACAUUCGAAGAAAGCAAUGACAGAAGAACUAAUAGCCCUUGAACAGAAUGGCAUCUGGACAGUGAGUUCUUUACCAGAAGGAAAACAUGUUAUUGGAUGCAAUACAUUCAAAAAGAAGAUUCAAGAAAAAUGAUUGUGCUCUCCAACCUAGUCCAAGUGACAAGUCCCACAUUGGUCACGACACUGACAAGAACUCCAGCUUAGAAUAUAAAAGUGGUAUCUAUACCCAAUACAAAUCAUACCUUUCUCGGCCUUUUGGCUAAGAUCAAGUGUAGUAUCUGUUCUUAUCAGUUUAAUAUCUGAUAUGUAGACCAUUGGUUUACACGAUAUUAAAUUUAUUUUUUAAGGGAAAGGGUCAAUUGCAGUGGCUUGCUACUGUGGCUCUUGUGUAUCUCCUUUGCUUUGCAUUACUGCAAAGGUUGGGUGCAUCCCU